rnacentral:tRNA from 1 species
CGGGGUGUAGCGCAGUCUGGUAGCGCGCUUGCUUUGGGAGCAAGAUGUCGGGGGUUCGAAUCCCUCCACCCCGACCA